UCGUUCCUCCAUGUGGAUGAAAUGGCAUCCACUGACAUUCAUCAGUUCUUUCUGAACAUUCCUGGAGACCAAAGAGUGGAUGUUAGCAUAGUGAGACGAUAGGUCGUUUCAGCGACUCUACUGAUUUCCAGUGUCACACUUUUGAAUCCUGGCCGAGGAAGAGAAGACCUGCAGCCAUUUCAGCUAAUGAUACACUUACUGACUCAUCCAAGGAAGUCAGCAAUGGAUAAGACCUGCUACAACCACAGAAGCAGUGAUAUUCACUUGUUUAAUAACUGGGAAAAAAAAAGAAAAAAAAAACAGAUAUCCUUACACUAUUGCUUCUCUGCCUUCAGGCCCUGCAGUACUCCAUAUUUCAAGUACAAUACAAGACAGCUACUAAA